GGUCUCGAGGUGUAAUAGCAUGUGUGGUUGCAAACCAUGAGGAGCAGGGUGAUGUCUGCCGAGGCUU
rnacentral:tRNA from 1 species